UUCCUACGGGCGGCAGCAGUGAGGAAUCUUCCACAAUGGGGGCAACCCUGAUGGAGCAACGCCGCGUGAAGGAUGAAGGCCCUCGGGUUGUAAACUUCUUUUAUGAGUGAAGAAUAUGACGGUAACUCAUGAAUAAGCACCGGCUAACUACGUGCCAGCAGCCGCGGUCAUACGUAGGGUGCAAGCAUUAUCCGGAGUGACUGGGCGUAAAGAGUUGCGUAGGCGGCUUAAUAAGUGAAUAGUGAAACCUGGUGGCUCAACCAUACAGACUAUUAUUCAAACUGUUAAGCUCGAGAAUGGUAGAGGUAACUGGAAUUUCUUGUGUAGGAGUGAAAUCCGUAGAUAUAAGAAGGAACACCAAUGGCGUAGGCAGGUUACUGGACCAUUUCUGACGCUAAGGCACGAAAGCGUGGGGAGCGAACCGGAUUAGAUACCCGUGUAGUC
rnacentral:rRNA from 1 species